rnacentral:rRNA from 1 species
UACGGAGGAUGCAAGCGUUAUCCGGAUUUAUUGGGUUUAAAGGGUGCGCAGGUUGUCUGAUAAGUCAGUGGUGAAAGUCUGUCGCUUAACGGUAGGAUUGCCAUUGAUACUGUUGGACUUGAAUAUGGAUGAGGUAGGCGGAAUGUGUAAUGUAGCGGUGAAAUGCUUAGAUAUUACACAGAACACCAAUUGCGUAGGCAGCUUACUGAGCCGACACUGACGCUGAGGCACGAAAGCGUGGGGAUCAAACAGGA